GUAUAAUAACCUAUCAUGUAUCAAGCUGUUCCUCAUAAUGCAGAACUCUUCUCUAAGACAGUGCCGCUUCUCCAAAAUAUGAUGUUUUGCCUAAAGGACAGUGACAGGUGACCAUUGUGAGGAAUAUUAGUAUUGGAUUUCCUCUCUGGGCCACAGGAACGCACUCACGCGCACUCUUCGCCUGGAAUAACACUGACAGGGCGUGUAACAUGUGCCAGCUCUUGCGUUUUUAGCAUGAAACCGAAAAAUAUGGCUUUGUUCAGAGAAACACAUGGUUUCUGGGGUUUUUUUUCUUCUCAGGACCAUUGUUUGGAAAUGUUUGGGAUUGUAUCUUGAAUUCUCUUUCCAUUCUGUCUUGCUCUUUUUAAAAAAAAAAAAAAAAAAAAAAAAAAGUUGCAAGUCCUCACAGGAAAAUUAUAAACAGAUGAGUGGGAUGGGAACAGAUCCUGUGCGUCAGCGACGUAGCAGAGACACCACGCUGAUUCCCAGGCUUUCUGAAGGCAAGCCGAUGCUUGAUGGCACAGAGAACCAGAAAAACUGGUCAGGGCUUUACCGUUAGCUGUCACUCUCACAUAAACACACAUACACCAUACGCCACAGGCAAGCACAUGACACAUACAAGUCCCUGCAGACUCUUCAGCGCCUGGCACAAUCAUCACUCAUCAGCCUUGACGGGCUCUGAGUUUUUAAAAAAAAAAAAAAAAAAAAAACCCCGAAACAUGGGAGUCUGGAUGUUCACACACAUAAUGCUUCGAAUGCGAGCUGUGGUUGUGAAACACUGCGGUCCUGUUGCACAAAGCUACUUGUGGAUGGCGCUCUGGUCCACGGGAUAUCACUCUUGCUGUGUUGCUUUGACAUUCUCUGGCACAAGCACGUCAAGUCCGAAGCUACACAAAGAGUGACCUGACACACUCGUACAAAAGCCUGUACCAACUCUCGAGUCCGGCCUGGUCCUCUCUCACGAAUUAAACCCAGAUCUCCUAUAGUUCAACAGACUGACAGCUCUUUCUGUGUGCCAGCACCCCUUUUCCUCCAAAGGUCCCUCAGGCCAGGAACAUAGGAUUGGUUAAACUGGCGAGUAAGCUCAACAGUCAAACAAGUUCCUCACUUGGCACUCUUCUGCAGCCUUUUAGACACCACAAGGCUCUGACUUGGCAGCAGCGAGCGAACGCAGCAAUUAAGUCGACUCUCUAACGGUUGCCGGCGUCCAUGACGCAAGGCCUGAAUGAAUCACGGGGAAUGAUUCAGAGAUCUCACACUGAGGCAGAAAAUGAGCCAACAGAGGAACAGAGAACGCACUUUACUCAUGAGUGCUGAUGUAUGUCUUGUGGUUUUCAUUCAGCUAAGGACGAAGGCACUUUAUUUGAAAAACUUGGGUCUGCGUUAAAAAAAAAAAGACUAAUAAGUAUCAUUUUUCUAGAAAGCAAUGCAGGAGGAUUUAUCGAAUGCUUAUUUGGGAAAUUACAGAGGACAACUCUCAUGUCUCCCACAUCCUCUCAUCCCUGCCCUCAAUUCCCACGCUGAAGCAGCAUGCCUGCUGGGAAAUUUCCAGAUCAGGACCCCAGCUAGGUUUCGGAAUACUUGCGGAUCCUGCAUGUAGGGAAACGUAGCGGGAAAGCCGAAACGGACCGGUUCUCAUGCUGACCUUGGGCAACUGUGUGAUGGAAGGAGCCGGGAUGAGUUAGCCAGGCCUGUUCACGUACAGUCCAUGUGUUUCUGUCAUCAUGGGUAUCAGGUUUGCGAGCUUCCCUCCUCCUCCUCCUGUGCCUUCGAGUGCCGUACCACUAAAUACUGCGAACACCACAGAAUCAUCAGUGGAGAGCAACAGGACAAGUAGAAGGAGAGGGAUUCGAGACUUCACUCAAAGCCAGAACAAAGAGCUCAGAGUCGAGUCAUGGCUCUGAGAAGGAAGCCAGAUUGAAUAUUUCACAUUUCAUCUUUCUGAGUGCUUUGACCUUUAAAAAGACCUCAAACAAUAAGGCAAAGUUUCCCGCCUUCCUUCACCUGUUGCUAAGGCUUUCUCAACACCGAACCACUUAACCGGACUUAAUAAUGACACAGUGAAACCUGUUGCUGUCCAUAGAAAACCAAUAAUAAAAACUCCCUGGCCACUUUUGUGCAAUCCUCCAACUUUAAUUGACCUGCACGUUUCUCCACAAGCCUCUCCCAUAAAAGUCAUCCAGUGGAAAAUACCUCAUACGCAGAAUCGGCACAGAAACCGGGCUUUCCGCAUUGUAAUAGCUGAACACCCAAACCGCAAGGCAAGCAUGCCUUUUUUAAUUUUUUUUAUUCUCCAGCACAGGACCCAUCAUAUUCACAUUGCUCCUUUCUUCUCAUUUCAUCUGUGUCAAAUUCCAUAACGAAAUCCAUCCAUUUCUUCAUUUAUUUGUUUCCUAUAUACGACUUCCAUGAUGACGUUACAUACUUGUG
ensembl:lncRNA